rnacentral:tRNA from 1 species
UAGCUCAGUUGGUAUAGCAGUCGACUUUUAAUCCAUUGGUCGAUGGUUCGAGUCCAUC